UUAGAGUUUGAUCCUGGCUCAGGACGAAUGCUGGCGGCACGCCUAACACAUGCAAGUCGAACGGAGAUGAUUUGAGUUUACUUAGAUUAUCUUAGUGGCGGACGGGUGAGUAACACGUGAGCAACCUGCCUUUGAGAGAGGGAUAGCUUCUGGAAACGGAUGGUAAUACCUCAUAACAUACAGAUACCGCAUGGUGACUGUAUCAAAGAUUUAUCACUCAAAGAUGGGCUCGCGUCUGAUUAGAUAGUUGGUGAGGUAACGGCUCACCAAGUCGACGAUCAGUAACCGGACUGAGAGGUUGAACGGCCACAUCUGGGACUGAGACACAGCCCAGACUCCUACGGGAGGCAGCAGUGGGGAAUAUUGCACAAUGGGCGCAAGCCUGAUGCAGCAACGCCGCGUGAGGGAAGACGGUCUUCGGAUUGUAAACCUUUGUCUUUGGUGAAGAAGAAAGUGACGGUACCCAAGGAGGAGGCCACGGCUAACUACGUGCCAGCAGCCGCGGUAAUACGUAGGUGGCAAGCGUUGUCCGGAAUUACUGGGUGUAAAGGGAGCGCAGGCGGGACAGCAAGUUGGAUGUGAAAUACCGAGGCUUAACCACGGAGCUGCAUCCAAAACUGUUGUUCUUGAGUGAAGUAGAGGUAAGGCGGAAUUCCGAGUGUAGCGGUGAAAUGCGUAGAUAUUCGGAGAAACACCAGUGGCGAAGGCGGCCUACUGGGCUUUAACUGACGCUGAGGCUCGAAAGUGUGGGGAGCAAACAGGAUUAGAUACCCUGGUAGUCCACACCGUAAACGAUGAUUGCUUGGUGUGGGGGGUGUGUCCCCCUCCGUGCCGGAGUCAACGCAAUAAGCAAUCCACGUGGGGAGUACGGCGGCAAGGUUGAAACUCAAUGGAAUUGACGGGGGCCCGCACAAGCAGUGGAUUAUGUGGUUUAAUUCGAAGCAACGCGCAGAACCUUACAGGUCUUGCCAUCCGACUACCGAGAUAGAGAUAUGUCAGGUGCCCUUCGGGGAAAGUCGAGACAGGUGGUGCUUGGUUGUUGUCAGCUCGUGUCGUGAGAUGUUGGGUUAAGUCCCGCACCGAGCGCAUCCCCUGCCAUUAGUUGGUACGCAAGAGCACUCUAAUGGGACCGCUACCGACAAGGUGGAGGAAGGUGGGGACGACGUCAAAUCAUCAUGCCCCUUAUGACCUGGGCUACACACGUAAUACAAUGGCCGUUAACAACGAGGAGCAAACCCGCGAGGGGGAGCAAAACUCCAAAAACGGUCUCAGUUCGGAUUGCAGUCUGCAACUCGCCUGCAUGAAGUUGGAAUUGCUAGUAAUCGCGGAUCAGCAUGCCGCGGUGAAUACGUUCCCGGGCCUUGCACUCACCACCCGUCA
rnacentral:rRNA from 1 species